rnacentral:lncRNA from 1 species
AACAAUGAGAGGUGACUUCUAACACUUGCUGUCUGGCAUAGCUACUCGUUAGUCGGUUGGUGUGUGACUCAUUCCUGCCAAUGACGAAUCGGAGACAAACCAGAAGCAGCCGUGCAAUGGUGCUUCCCCCAUUUUAUAUGUGAGGCACUCACUGGAGCCGAACACUUUUAGAAAAUGAAAUAAUUUCAGCAAAAGGCAGCUUUGACAUCCUGGACUGCCCGUGCAAAACAAACCCAUUGAAGAAGAUUAUCUUACCAUUUCCGUCUGCACUAUGAAAACU